ensembl:lncRNA
UUUGCUGUCAACAACUAUACGUAGUGUAAAUCAACGUUGGACUCGUGGGCCUCCGCGUUACACUCCAAGUCCUGAGGCGAGACAGCAGAGCUUCCAGCUGCUCUUGAGGAUGCACACGAAUCGCUUCAACCAGCGCCUCAGUAUGCUUGAGAGCAACACGCUGGACAUAAAAGACAGCCUUGAGAACAUGAGGAAACACCAGAGUCACUUCAGCUCUCAACUCAAGACACUAGCCAGUGUUUUGUCUCCAAAUCACAGGGAAGACAGAAUCAAUGAGUUGACCAACAAAUACACAGACAUUAAAACAAGACUAAGUAAACUAGAACACAAACUUGAGAUACUGAUCGAUGGCUUCACUGCAUUAGCACAAGAGUUGGACAAAGUCAAACGUGCACGCCAUAUGGCACGUCCACCACUGGAUCAAAGAGAAAUCACUGUGGUUGCUACCACCCAGAUUCCAUCCUUGACUACUGCUUGGAUUACUCGCAGGUUUACCAGCAGAUUUCAAUCGAGAACUGUUAUUCCCAAAACCCUGCCAACUCCACAUAGUAUCUCCACAACUAACUUUGCAAAAGAUGGACUUUCCCAGAUGAAUGGAAGUUCAGUUAAGAGGCAGGGAAAGUUCUCAACUAAAAGGAUCCAACCAAUAUCAACAAGAGUAGACACUGAAAUCAAUUUCACAUCAAAGGCAGACAACAAACAACAUAGUAAAUCUUCUAGGAGAUCAACAGUUCCCAAAGGUUUUGCCAACCAUCUUCUUACUGCAUCCUCUGAAAGGCUUUCAACCUUGGUUACCGCCAAUCAAAUGCAACAGAAUCAACAAAAAAGAAAUGCACUCACUACAGUUUCUCUUAUAUCACGGGCAAGGAUUAACAGACAAAAUGUAAUUUCUCAAAAACACCACAAAAGUGGUCCAAAAGUAAAUAGGAAGUCUGCGGAAUCUAAAAAAACUACAAGGAAACAUGAUCAACCAUCCCAUUCACCUACAAAGCCCCAAGUUAAAGAAGAAUCUGCAACUAAAUUUC